UUCUUUUAUCGAGAUGGAAAUUGAUUUAUUGUUUUUCUACAGUGGGAAGCCCUUGCUCUCUUGCUCAUUGGUAUAAUUGUUAGUCAAUUACGAUCGAUACCCAAGGGAAGUACAACUUUGGGUGUUCCUGUCACAAUGAGUGCAUAUCUCUAUAUGUUUAUUUUUGUUACUAUUCCGUCAAUGGCCUCUAUUUAUAAUGAGUAUGCUUUGAAGAGCCAAUAUGAUACAAGUUUAUAUCUGCAGAACUUAUUCUUGUAUGGUAUGGAGCUAUGUUCAAUUUUCUUGGCAUACUCGUGAAUAUUAUUGUCAAAGUCCUAGCAGCUUUGAUAUCCUAGAAGACCAUUCAGAAGCCACUAUGUUAUUGAUUGCAAACAAUGCUGCCUAAAGGAUAUUAUCUUCUUUCUUCUUCAAAU